GGAUCCCUGGCAUAGGCGCCAGGCAGACAGUCCUCGAGCCGAUAAGUCUAUGCCUGGAAGUUCCUCGUUGCUGUUGGUGUGCAUGUCCGGCGCUGACCGGAACGCCUGAUACAGCGCAGGAGCCUCCUCCUUGAACCGUCGGGUUCAGGGCAACUCUGCCAACGCCAUGCCGGGAAGCCA
rnacentral:other from 1 species